rnacentral:rRNA from 1 species
GUCUAUGGCCAUACCAACCUGAACAUGCCGAUCUCAUCUGAUCUCAGAAUAAAAACAAAUUAGAAAAGAAGCUGAGUGCAGUGGCUCACACCUGUAAUCCCAACACUUUGGGAGGUUGCCGUGGGUG